rnacentral:rRNA from 1 species
CCUACGGGGGACAGCAGUGAGGAAUAUUGGUCAAUGGACGAGAGUCUGAACCAGCCAAGUAGCGUGAAGGAUGACUGCCCUAUGGGUUGUAAACUUCUUUUAUAAAGGAAUAAAACGAGGCACGUGUGCCUUUUGCAGGGACGGUAGGAAGAAGGAGCGGCGAACUCCGUGCCAGCAGCCGCGGUAAUACGGAGGAUCCGAGCGUUAGCCGGAUUUAGUGGGUUUAAAGGGAGCGUAGAGGGUUUGUUAAGUCAGUUGUGAAAGUUGGCGGCUCAACCGUAAAAUUGCAAUUGAUACUGGCAGUCUUGCGUCCAGUUGAGUUAGGCUGACUUCGUGUUGUAGCGGUGA